rnacentral:rRNA from 1 species
UUUAACUGAGCGUUCAGUUACUUGACGUAGACCCGAAACCGGGCGACCUACCCAUGAGCAGGAUGAAGCGAAAGUAAAAUUUCGUGGAGGUCCGAACCCACGAGCGUUGAAAAGCUCGGGGAUGACUUGUGGGUAGCGGUGAAAUUCCAAUCGAGCCCGGAGAUAGCUGGUUCUCCCCGAAAUAGCUUUAGGGCUAGCCUCAAGGUGAGAGAUACGGAGGUAGAGCACUGAAUGUCCUAGGGGGUAUUGCACCUACCGAAGACUAUCAAACUCCGAAUGCCGUCAUCUUAUACUUGGGAGUCAGACUGUGGGUGAUAAGAUUCAUAGUCGAAAGGGCAACAGCCCAGAUCGUCAGCUAAGGUCCCUAAAUGUAAGUUAAGUGGUAAAGGAUGUGGGAUUGCACAGACAACCAGGAUGUUGGCUUAGAAGCAGCCACUCAUUCAAAGAGUGCGUAAUAGCUCACUGGUCGAGUGAUCCUGCGCCGAAGAUUUCCGGGGCUAAAACUUACUACCGAAGCUACGGCAUCAGUAAUGAUGGGUAGGGGAGCUUCCCAUACGGGUUGAAGCAUGACCGUAAGGACAUGUGGACAGUAUGGGAGUGAGAAUGUUGGCAUGAGUAGCGAGAUGUGGGUGAGAAUCCCACAGGCCGUAAACCCAAGGUUUCCAGGGGAAGGUUCGUCCGCCCUGGGUUAGUCGGGACCUAAGCUGAGGCCGAAAGGCGUAGGUGAUGGACAACAGGUUGAUA